UACGUAGGGUGCAAGCGUUGUUCGGAUUCAUUGGGCGUAAAGGGCGCGUAGGCGGCGGGGUCAGUCGGGUGUGAAAUCUUGGGGCUUAACCCCGAAACGGCACUCGAAACUGCCCGGCUGGAGGGCCGGAGAGGAGAUCGGAAUUCACGGUGUAGCAGUGAAAUGCGUAGAGAUCGUGAGGAAGACCCGUGGCGAAGGCGGAUCUCUGGACGGCUAACUGACGCUGAGGCGCGAAGGCCAGGGGAGCAAACGGG
rnacentral:rRNA from 1 species